rnacentral:lncRNA from 1 species
AUUUAUGAGCUCUUGAUUAUUUUUGUUGAUUAUAAUUACCUGCUCUUAAAAAAAAUAAAAUUCUAACUUAAUUACUUAUACUAUAAAUAGUCUCCUCUAUUGUACUAACAUGACCUAACCCUUACUAACAAAUACCUCUAUCACAUUACACGAUCAAACAACCAUUUAACAAAAUUAUAAGCAAUCUCAAACCACAACAUCAACCUUAACCAGCAAAAUUCCAAUCAAACACAAAUCAUUUCAAAUAAUCAAAUUCCACAUCAUCUUCAUAAAACUUUCCAUACCUUCACUAACAUUCAUUCACAAUUCCAAAACAUAAAUCAAAAGAAUAUAAUUCAAUUUCAUAAGCACUUGGAUUCAAAACAAACAAAAAAAGAAAAUAGAAGGAAGAGGAGAUCGAUACACCAACGAACACAACACUGCCAAAAGCUGCUUCUAAAUCACGACUUGUACCGCUGAACUUCCAGUCGCUCUACAGACGAUGUCAGAUCCGGUUGUCAACAACCUUCCGUCGCAGCAUCCGACGGACAUCACACUCAACCUCAGCAACAUCGCCGCUGAAGACGAAC